UUGCUUUUUCAGUAAAUAACUUCAAACUAUGAAAAAGAAAAUCUCUAUAAAAGCCUUUUCUUCAUCUCAAAAUGUGUUGACAUGAAGUGAGAUGGAUGGCUGUUGUUGCAUUGAGUUGUAUGCCCCGGAGAAGGAGACUCCAGGCAAGGACAUGAGUCCACCACCUCCACCCCUCAAAAUGGCCUCCUGUUGAUGGGUGUAUGGGUGGGCGUGAAGCGCUUUUCUCUUUACCCAGAUGUGCCCUGAAAGGGAUGCCCUGAAAUACCCUGAUUUUAUUUAUGAUUAAAAAACUGUUAAAAGAAAAGGAAAACAUGACUCAGUUCUCAGUUAUUUUUGUCACUACAUUAAGGCAGUGUUGUUAGCAGUAUCCCAAACACUGCAGCUGGCAGCAUGCUGUGCUGAGCUGGACUGCCUGAGACAGAAGAAAAUAGGGCUGUUUUCAAUCACUCCUGAAUUUCUGUGCAAAAUCACCCGUUCUCAUUGUGUUAAACCCUGUCUUAACCCUCCUGGCUCAUGCAAAGGGCAAUUACUCGGCUCACAUAUCAUUGCAGCCCACUGCUUAUGAUGUGUGGGUGAUGCCUGAGGUGCUGCAUCAGAUGCUGGAGUCUUGCUAGGUGGCUUCUACUGGAAGACUGCCUCUUGCCCUGUACAGCCUGGGGGGGAGGUGAGGUUUUGCAAACUGGGAAGGGAAGGUGAGGAGCUGGCAGUUGGUGAUUGGGAGUUGGCCGUUAGCAACUGGCCUCCAGCAACUGGCCACAGAACAUUCCAGUGCCCUGCAGCUGAGGGUGAUGGGCACAACUGAUUGAGGGGAGGCCUGGGGCACAGCCCAGCUCCUGAGGAGGCCGUUGUUGGGCAAUCUGGAUUCCACAUAGCACUGGUGAAUGAUGAAAACAGAAGAUGUUUUAAUUCACAUCUGACAGUAAGCUGGGCAGAACAGCAGGGCAGUCACACACCGAACAAGUGAACCCAGAAAGGACAUGGGGAUUAAAAACUAGACUGUGGAUAGUAAACCACAAGUACAAGGAGUUGAUACUGGCAGGAGAAAGGAGCUGUAAGUCCUGAAACCUGAUGGAGUGCUGAACAGUUAAUGGAUCAUGUUAGGAAAGCUGUGUGAAGCAGUUACAGAUUGGAAGCCAGGAUUCCAUGACGAGGAAUCAAUCCCAAGAAAGGCCAGAGUGGGACAGAGGAUGACCUAGUUGGAAAAUAAUGCAUGGAAGUGGGGGAGAGGUAUCAGGUAUUGCUGGCUGCAUUGGUUGGAAAUAUCAUUGUAUUUGAUGGAAAGGAAGAGAAAGAGAAGGAAAAACUGAUUGUAAUAGCUGAGGCUGAAGCCUAAGACGUAAAGACACUUACAGCGAAUGCACAUUUCUACACAGCAGCAGAGGCUCAUUUGUUUAAGGUGCCAUGAGGAGCCACUGCAGUCUUCCUUGAGUCUGAACAUUCCCUGUCUUCUGUGU